ACACCGAACAGAUUUGAGUCACUGACCUCACCAGACUGUCCCACGGCCGAUAAUCGGCCUGAUGUGUUCCGGCCCUAGUCUUUGAAAAAGCAUCAUGAGGCGAAAGAGCGAAGAUACUGUUUUAAAAAAUUUGGGAAGAGUCGUAAAAUUACGCUCACUUUGCAAGACAUACAGAACGUUAUACACGGCUGUGCUACGGAAGAAAGUGCGUAUCUGGGCAACAAUUUUUACAGGUUCCAAAUUCACUAUCAAACAGGAUACGACUAAGAAACAUUUUUUUUGCACACUUGAAGUGUUCUCCUCUGGGAAGUCCUGAUGCUGCACCUGACACCGACAUUGAGUAUGAGGACAAGGAUCUGGAGGAGGUUAAGUCUUCUUCAUCCAAGCUCACUGAGAGACAGGAUUCUACCCAAGCAUCAGAAACAUCUUCCGAAAAUAGUGGUCCAGAUAGCCUCUUUUUUCGGCAUAAGCUGCCGACAGGCCCAUGUUUUUUUUUAAGGACACUAAGGAGUGGAGCGACCUGAUAAAACGACAGGUUGGGCACCAGUUUAAAGAUCUGCACUGGACAAAUAUAAUCUCAAAAGGAAUACAAUCUGUACAUCCAUACUGCAGCAUUGCUUUUAAAAGGCACACCGUGAAAAAUAAAAUGUCCAAAAGAAAAGGACCUUUAUUUAGUUGCCUGGGAUACUGCACAUUUUCAGAUUGCCCAGUUUGUGUAGAGGUCACUGUGAGGGAUGAGAGUACCCUGAAGGCCUGGGUGACCUUUCAGGGAGAGGAGGUCUGUCACAGUAUGGAAGAAUUAAAAAGAAGAUAUGUACGAGCUGAUAACAAAGACAUUUUUGGAAAGCAACUUGAAUCAGUGCUUCCAAGGGCCUUACAUUUGCAGUGUAUGGACAAAAUCCAACCUAAAGUCUUUGAAUCAGGAUGCAGAGACCAGGCACCUACAGCUGCAGUCCUCAAAAACAUAGCCUACAUGACACGAAGGAAAUGCAGAAGGCAUGACAACAAAAUACUAAGUCUUCUCAAAAUGGUGAAGGAAAAAACAGAUGAAGACAAUGAAGUUCUCCAAAAGGUGCUCUUGCACCCCAAAGGAGUCAUGCUGUGGUCCAAAAACACAAUCAGACUGUUCCACCAACGAGGCAGGGAUGAUAUUGUGUAUAUUGACGCCACAGGAAGCACCUUUUUAUGUGUAUGAGUUGGUGGUGAGGCAUCCUAUUAAAGGAUCCUCCCCUAUCCCUGUUGCAACGUAUGUCACCUGCCAACACACCACUGUAUCAGUGUUAUUUUUUAUGGAGUCUUUUCAAACAGAUUACUACAAGUUGUUUGGAAGGAAAUCUGUGAGGAGACCUGUGAUGAUAAUCUGUGAUGGGUCCCUUGUUCUGAUGCAAGCUGUUGCCUACACUUUUUGUAAACAUUCUUUGGAGAGCUUGCUCAGCGUCUACUAUGACAUUGUCGCUGGACAGUUGAAAGAGGUCAUGAAUAUGCCAAUUCUUCAUCGGUGCCUAAGCCACAUCAUGAAGAAUGCCAAAGUGUUCUGCCGGAAACAUUCCCCCAAACACUAAAGACUGUCCAUGCAUCUUUUUGGCCUCCUGACAAGUGCUGCCACACUGAUGGAAAUGGAUGACAUUAUUACAAGCAUGGCAGUCCUGUUCUCAAGUCCUCGGAGUGGUGACAACGUGGAAAAACACUUCCAAAACCUUCAGAACAGGUUGCAAACAAUUGGCUUUUCUGAAAGCAGUGACCAUGCAGAAAAUGCUGAAAAUGACUUUGAGGUUUGUCUGAUUUGUGCAUUAUUAUUCACCUACAUUCAUGCCUAACCUGGUGAAAUAUUUCCUACCUCUGGCAGUUUUGUGGUCUGGUCUCAUGCUGGGUAAGUGACAACUUAUUUUUGAGGAUUGCUUGGGGUGAGGUUGUGGGAUUUGAACAAAGGCAAAUAUUUGACAAUGUUACAGCCAUAAUGUUUAAAAACAAAAACAAAUCAACUUAAUUCAACAUUUAAUUACCUGAUUGUAGUGAAAUAAAACAUGAUAUGGCAUAUUUGAUCCAUUCAUUUGUGUUCACUGCGGUAAAUAAUAUGUUGUGGGUAAUCAUCAUUUUAAGGUCUAAAUUAUUUACUUUAAUAUAGGUGAUCUUGGCCGCCAUGGAAAAGGACCAGCCUACAAUCAUUUUUCCAAGAUUUUAAUGCGAUGCAGUCAGUCAGGCACACAGAACUACACUGAGGACAACAAGACUCAGGCUAUAAUGGAGAAAAGCCAAUGGGAUCUGAAAAAAAUUAGAUUCCAGAGACGUCGUCUCACAAGGCUUGACGACUUUGUACAGAUUUAUCAGCAGACACAUAAUGCUCUCUUGAUGGAGUUCUCUGACUCAGCACGCAAGAGAAAAGUUUUUCAAAGCCACAAAUGUAAUUUUAGUUUAUGUGAUGUGAGAAAUAUAUCUUCCUGUAUGUGAUGUGAAUGGUUUAGGCUCCAGUCAAAGGACGCAAACCAGGUUUGGAGAGACCACAGACAGUGACUGACACCAGCUCGACAGGACCCAAGUCGGAUAAGGAACCUUUAAGGAGCACUGACAUCCCAAAAAAACCUGGGAGUACAACAACAUCUGUAAAUAAAAACUAUGGACCAUGCUGGCAAGGAGCAGACCCCUCAGAAAAGAAAUCUGCAGCAAGACUACAAAGGCCUCCACAGGUCCCAAAACAUAGCAAAAUGACUGCUGUUCUUCAUCCGUACCACUGGCUUAGCUGUGAUGAGAUAGAUUUUGCAUCAUACUUGCUUGCAAGCGAGUACCCUCACAUUCAUGGCUUUCACUCAAGUGUUUUAUUUAGUGUUUUACAUAAGGGAGGGAUUUUGGGUAUUCCAAGCAGCCCAUUUGUGCAAAUUUUACACACUGGGGACAACCACUGGGUAACUGCUAGCAACAUGUUUUGUUGGAACAAUCAGGUUUGCAUUUAUGACAGUCUUUCGACAGUGCUAUACAACAAAGACAAACAAGUUUUGUCAUGGUUAAUAAGGCCAAAGGAAGACAAAUUUACAGUUAUUUACCCUGCUGUCCAACAUCAGUCGAAUUUGUCAGGGCCCCUCCUCCCUGAGCUGUCUCCCCUUCCCGUUUGUGUGUCUCCCUUACCUCUGCCCCUUUUUGUGUCUGUGUUGUUUGUCUCCGUCCGUCUCUUUUUGUUCCUCAGUUUCCUGAGUUCCCACUACCACUGAAGGCACCCCGGCACCAAGGCUGCUGCAAUCGCUACAAUCUACUACACCUGCCCCAGUCCACCUGGGGCUGAUUGCCACUCUCCCUAUAUCAGGGAGAGGUCUGCUUUCAGUCCCCGUCUGAUAAUUGUUUCAGCCACGUAUUUAUCUCUUGCGUUUCUGUGCAUUAUUCAGCUAUCUCCAGUUCUAGUUAUUAUCCUGAGUUUCCCGUAGUUUAGCCUUUUUUUUUCCUCAUUGUGUUUUUGUGUUCUGCCUCCUAGACGCUGUUCUCCCUCCACCGCCGGCUACUGCCUUUUUCCCUCCUCAACUGGAUCUUCUGUUUGGACUCCUCGUGCCGACCUCUGCCUUGAUCUCCGUGUCUCUGGACCCCCAGCCUGUUGCCGACUAUUCUCGCCUGCCGUUUGUACUUCUGCUGAGCCACAACCUACCCAUACUCACUCCCAUAACCUCCACGACGGAACACCAUCUACAUUAUUCAUUUUCUAAUAAACAGUAGUAUUAUGGAACUCGCCCUGUGUUCUGCUUUUGUGUCCUACCCCGUCCAGAGCGUGGCAGAAUUGUAGUAACUGUGGUUUGUUUGCAAUUACUUUUGCAUUUGCAUUGUGCUGCAACCUGAGGCCAGAAAACUGCAAGUUCCCGUGAGGGCCGGUUGAGGACUGAACUUUUAACUUCCUUCAAGAAAGGACAAAUCCAUUUUAAAACAGAGCCAAGAGUUGGUGCUCCAAAGUCAGGACAAACGCAUGUGAAUGUGUACUGCAUAUGCAGGACUGCACACUGCAGUGAAGUAAUGGUAGAAUGUUCUUUGUACAAGGGGUGGUAUCAUCCUAACUGUGUGAACAUACCACAAAGUGCCAUUAGUGGGGAUGAUCACUGGAAUUGCCACAACUGUACUGGCUAAAUGUAAAAAAGAAAUGACAUUUUCUUGAAUUCAAUUUA